rnacentral:rRNA from 1 species
UACGUAGGGGGCAAGCGUUGUCCGGAAUCAUUGGGCGUAAAGCGCGUGUAGGCGGCUCGAUAAGUCUGCUGUGAAAGUUCAGGGCUCAACCCUGAAAUGCCGGUGGAAACUGUCGAGCUAGAGUACGGAAGAGGUGAGUGGAAUUCCUGGUGUAGCGGUGAAAUGCGUAGAUAUCAGGAGGAACACCGAUGGCGAAGGCAGAUCUCUGGGCCGUAACUGACGCUGAGGCACGAAAGCGUGGGGAGCAAACAGG